GAGCAACGUAAAUGCUGCUCAUAAACCAAUUGAAUGGCGAAAGAGCAACAGGUGUCCGGAGUUGCUGAUUUACGCAUCAUAUUUCUCAUAGCUACAGCUCCAGGGGAUGAUCCAGGGGACCUGUUUUGAAGACCUGGACAUCCUGACAGUGGUGCUGCGGAGGAUCCCAGGAAAGGAAAUCCUUGCAGAAGUGCAUUAAGUCCCAUUUUUUCGUAGCUAACCUCGUUCCCUGCACCUCCUGGUUCCACCUAGUACUCUCCUGCCUGUCUGUCUGAUUACCUUGUCUGCAAUGGUUCACUCUUCUCGAAGCUCCUUCUGCCCACCAAGAGGUU